UACGUAGGGGGCGAGCGUUGUCCGAAGUUACUGGGCGUAAAGCGCGCGUAGGCGGGUUGGCAAGUCUGCUGUGAAAGCCCGGGGCUUAACUCCGGAGGGUCGGUGGAUACUGCCAGUCUUGAAGGUGCUAGGGGGAGAUGGAAUUACCGGUGUAGCGGUGAAAUGCGUAGAGAUCGGUAGGAACACCAGUGGCGAAGGCGGUCUCCUGGAGCAUACUUGACGCUGAGGCGCGAAAGCUGGGGGAGCGAACGGG
rnacentral:rRNA from 1 species